UAAUAUUUAAUUUGAUUUUAUAUUUAUUCUUUGUAAAAAAGUAUUUUUUUAACCCGAUCCUUUCGUACUAGGGUGAAAUAUUAAAAAUUGAGGAUAGAAACUGACCUGGCUCACGCCGGUCUGAACUCAGAUCAUGUAGAAUUUUAAUGGUCGAACAGACCAACCCUUAAAGACUUCUGCAUCUUUAGGAUAUUCUAGUCCAACAUCGAGGUCACAACCCCCCCUUUCGAUUUGGUCUCUCAAGGGAGAUUAUGCUGUUAUCCCUGCGGUAACUAGUUUUUUUAAUCAGCUUUGCUGGAUCAAAACGUAUAGGUUUUAAAUUGAUUUAUAAAGGAAGCUCUUUUUGUUCCUUGGUCGCCCCAACCAAAAAAGAUUAACAGUUAUAUAUUUGCUAUAAAACAUAAGUGUUUCUGUUUGUUUUUCAAGCUCGACAGGGUCUUCUUGUCCUUCAAUAAGAUCCAGGCCUCUUCACCUGGAAGUCAAGUUCUAAAAAAUAAAAAGGAGACAGUGUUGCUCUCGUCAGACCAUUCAUACUAGCCUUCAAUUAUAAGGCAAAUGAUUAUGCUACCUUUGCACGGUCAGAGUACCGCGGCCGUUAAAAAAUUCACUGGGCAGGUUCGACUCUUUAUUUUAUCUGUUUACAAAGAGCGAUGUUUUUGAUAAACAGGCGGAGCAACUUAUUUUGCCGAGUUCCUUCUUUUUAAUUUGUAUGUGAUUAAUGCAUUGUUGUUCAGGGAAAUAUAAUAUAUAGGGAAUUCCGAGGCUUGCAGAAUUAAUACUCAUCCUAGCAUUAGCUGAGAAAUGUGUUUAGUUUUAUUUCUUACCCCUAUUUCUUUUAGGCGGAAAGUAUAUGAAUAUUUUUAGUUUUUUAAAAUACUCUGUAACAAGUUUUUUGUCAAUGGCUAACUUCAAGCCUAUGGUAUAAAUGAAGAUUUGUACUCGUCACUAUUUGAAUCUUUAAGCUUAUCCUUAAAGAUCUUAAAAAUGGCUUAUAUCAACCCGAAAAAGAUUUUAGGGAUUUUUUGACCAAUUUUACACUUCUAUGUAUUUUUAGGGGAACUAGCUAUCACCAGCGCGAAUAACAUGUUAUCUCUAUCUUUUCCUCUUACUAAAAUUUUGUCACAUUUUUAGGUAGAGUCUAUAACCCCGGGAAUAGAUAGCUCGCUGGUUUUCGAGAAUUUAAAUACUUAGUCUUUUCUAGCUAGGCCGUGAUGCAAAAAGUACGCCUGAAUUAGCUGAUUUUUCUGUAAAAAUAGGUUCCCUUACGGUACUUGUAAAAAUUUAUUAACAGUUUCUUUCUCCGUUACUUUGUUUUUUAAUGUUUUAAAAGUUAAUGGGAAAAAAGGAGUCUAUUUUGAUUAAUUA
rnacentral:rRNA from 1 species